AUUGAACGCUGGCGGCAGGCCCAACACAUGCAAGUCGAACGAAGUCUUCGGACUUAGUGGCGGACGGGUGAGUAACACGUGGGAACGUACCUUUUGGUUCGGAACAACUCAGGGAAACUUGAGCUAAUACCGGAUGAGCCCUUAGGGGGAAAGAUUUAUCGCCGAAAGAGCGGCCCGCGUUAGAUUAGCUAGUUGGUGAGGUAAAGGCUCACCAAGGCUACGAUCUAUAGCUGGUCUGAGAGGAUGAUCAGCCACACUGGGACUGAGACACGGCCCAGACUCCUACGGGAGGCAGCAGUGGGGAAUCUUGCGCAAUGGGCGAAAGCCUGACGCAGCCAUGCCGCGUGAAUGAUGAAGGUCUUAGGAUUGUAAAAUUCUUUUACCAGGGACGAUAAUGACGGUACCUGGAGAAAAAGCCCCGGCUAACUUCGUGCCAGCCGCCGCAGUAA
rnacentral:rRNA from 1 species